rnacentral:rRNA from 1 species
GUGCCAGCCGCCGCGGUAAUACGUAGGUGGCAAGCGUUGUCCGGAAUUAUUGGGCGUAAAGCGCGCGCAGGCGGUCCUUUAAGUCUGAUGUGAAAGCCCACGGCUCAACCGUGGAGGGUCAUUGGAAACUGGGGGACUUGAGUGCAGAAGAGGAAAGCGGAAUUCCACGUGUAGCGGUGAAAUGCGUAGAGAUGUGGAGGAACACCAGUGGCGAAGGCGGCUUUCUNGGUCUGUAACUGACGCUGAGGCGCGAAAGCGUGGGGAGCAAACAGGAUUAGAUA